UGCACCCACUUGAAUAUAUAAUUAAAAGUAAUUGAUAUUGACGUUGUUUAUAAAUUUAAAUUUCAUGAUAUAAAUAAUGAGACUUACCAGAUCUACAGAUUUAUUGUACAUGGUAACAAACUCAACUGUAAGCCCGACAUCUUCAAUUUUAAAGGUAACCCCCUUGAAACUUAGUUGAAGAGCAAUAUAGUCACCGCGCAGUUUCAUAUCCAUUGCCACUAAUUCCAUCACCUUGAUUCCUCUGCAGUAAGAAAAAUAACCAAUUUAUUAAUGAAUCAAAUGUUGAAAUUGCAAAUAAUGUCAACAAUUGUUACCCAGCCGGGAAUCGAACCACGGCUCCCUUGAUUACGCGUCAAGUGCUCUACCACUGAGCUACCAGGGUAAUCUUUGACCUUAUAUGCAAUUUUAACUUAUUUAAUUUUAAUUUUAAUAACCCAUUUAUUUAAAAACAGGUAAGUAACUCGAGUGCAAGUACUUUGACUUGAAAGUAUUUAAAUAUCAUAAUUCUUAUGACUAAAUAGUUCUUUUUAUUGUUACCUCUUUUCAAUAGAAUUUAUAGAAUCUCCAAAUGUUUUGAACGGUGUCCCGAUCCCCAAAUUCCGAGACGCGUCAUAUAAGCCAUAUUCUUCGGUUCGCUAGCACCAGUUGCAGAUAUGCAUAAACUAUUCGAGCAUUGGGAAGAUCAUUUUGCAGUUUUUCAACAGCAACUCCAGUCUUGGUUGGGUUCUUUGUCUUCACGGGACACAGAUUUUUGGCUCGAUGGCACUCGUCGAAUACAAUCUAUUAAUAUUUAUCCAUUUAUAUAUAUAAUGAUACUCUUAUAUAAACAAUUUAUAAUUUUAUAUGAAACUUUGAGGAGAAGAAACUUGCCGCUCCAUCAAAAUCUUUCCCAAGCCAGUCAAUCAUUUGAGCCAAUCGUGUGUUAAAUUUUACUCGCUUGCUGGUUUUGCCAAUCAAUCCACUAUAAGUCAUGAACAAUACUCCAUUCUUGAACUUGUCCUGUUUGAUCCUUUCGUAUUUGAACUCGUUCAACCCUUUGCCGUUAAUUUCUCUCGCCCCGAUAUCUUUCAAAUCUCGGAUAGGGUCCUUCUUUAGGUCUGCCGACACGGAGAUCCAAACAGCCCUUUUCCGUCCUUUGAGCCAAUUCUCGUAAAUUAUACCAGCAACAGUUCGACCCUUUCCAACACCAGCACCGUCACCUGCAAUCAGAUAUGAAAUCAUCAAAUGUUAGAUUGCACGUCAUUAACUAGUCUGAUUAUUAUAACUAAACCGCACGAAAAAAGGGUAAUAAAACUAUUCACGAGACAUUUAUCAUUUAAAAAAUCUUACCAAUAAGAUAACCUGCUCUGUCUCCACCAGCAAGGAAGAAUUCAUGUUGUUGACAAGCGUACACGAUAGCCUCAAGUUGGGGGGCUGACAAAAGACCCUGGUUUAUCACUGUUUUCGGAAUAUUCAAAGCAUAUCCGGCAUCGACACCCCUGACAGGGAUGCAGUUUCCACAAUAGGGUCGGGGUGUGGUUUUCCUCCUUUCCCUGUUAACAAUGAGAAAAAUAGUAUUUAUAAAACACCAACACUAAUGACUGAAUAAACUAAUAAAUUCAACCAAAAGAUCACACAUUUCUGAGGGACAUAAUCCGCAUAAGUCUCAGCCACAUAUCGAGAGUUUCGUCGUCUUCUUCAGGAUCUUCCUCCUUAUCCCCGGGUUCUUUACUGUCAUUCUGAUUCGCUUCCGCCUACUCACCCACAAAACAACAAUUAUUACGUAUUGUCUGUCUACUUGUACGUGUCCCCUCAUUUGCAUAAAUCUCACUAUGCCCAUUUUCGGCGACGGGGUUUGAAUGUUGAGUAAACUCUAUGUCUCUCGUGGAUGCGUCAAAAUAUGCAAAUGAGUAGACUCGGCUAGAUAAUUUGAGAAUAUGUAUAAUAAUAAUAAUAAAUAAUUCAGCCAGAAUCAAACUAAAAUCCACCAUCUCAACUCAAUUUUAAUCUACAACCUAACUAAGACUUUUAAAAAUUUAUCUCAACUCACCUUGACCUUAGUAGUAGCCCGUCGUUUAUUGACCUUCGCCCUUUUACGUGGGGGUGUGAGUUGAACUUUGGAGGAGGAAGGACCAGCAGAUGGGCGCGGCGGCGGCAACGGCUCAUCAUCACGAACGUCAAGAAAGGGGGCAAUGUCGUUCUUAUUAUCCGCAACCUCCUCUCCAGUAAGGCUAAGGAUAAUAGUUUCCUCGUCGUCGUCGUCAAGAAUUUCCUCCACCUCCGUCUUCACCUUGUGUGAUGACGUCCAAAGUGGGGGUUGGCAUCAUGAUGGAGCCUGUGGGAAGUGUACGAAUAGGAGCGAGGGGGCGCGGAAGGAAACUUGAAAAUUUUCAACAAAAAUCGACAAGGACCUGAAUAAUGUUGAGAGUGGAUAGUGAGAGAUUGAGUGACUGAGAAAUAAAAGUGAGCUGCUUCUCGAGCGAGCGACUUCUUCUCUUGGCAGAGACAGAGAAAAGACAAGACCAGGGAGCCGGCAGUAGAAGAAAUCCUGACGAAUCUUGUUUGCGCUUUCCAGCCCAAGCCCAAACCACCAGAAAUAGAAUCCCUCUCACUCGAGCAGGCAAGCCGAAGGACUUAGACCGCCACCACCGCACAAUGCUAAACGAAAUCCGCCGAUUAUUAAUCUUUUCUUCCCGUUUAAAUGUGAUUAAAUGUGACGUUUUUAAACUUCAUCCAAACCAUUUGAAAUUUGGCACAUAAAUGCACCUAUGUAUGCUGCAUCAUAUGGUAGCAUCAAUUCCCGUUAGGUCAACGAAAAAAUCUAUAUAUUCCUUUGGUUCUGGUUCGUCAUUCUCGGAGUGUUAUCUACGCUCACGAUUUUCUACAGAGUGGCCGUCGUGAUUUCUCCAAGAAUACGAGGAUUCAUUCUCGGAUCGAGAUUUCGUCUCCUCAGCCAAGACGCGAUUCAGACGCUUGUUAAAAAAUCCAGACUUGGUGACUGGUUCCUUUUCUAUUUGCUCGGACAAAAUGUUGAUUCCGUAAUUUUUAGGGAAGUUAUGCACGAAUUAGCUAGACGAUUGGGACAUCCCAAAGAUUUUGGGGAACCUUGACAGGAGUCAUGCAAGGAAAACAUUGAAAAUAAACGGUAAGAGGAUAUCAAACUCACCGUUUCCGGCAAUUUCAGAUCUCGAAAACAUGCAAUAAAAGACCUGUACCUAUUAAUUAACAGUUAAGAAUUUAAUUUGUUUCUUUGUUUCAAACACAAGCAUGUCUUCAUUCAGUUUAGAACGUAUCAGAGAAAAAAUUUCCAUUUUGUAUCUAUUUUCACGACUCCCCAGUCUAAUUUCCACAACGCAUCCAACUAUGUAUGUUUCUCAGUUCUACUUAAAAUAUCGUAUUUAAACUGCAUGGCAAUAAGUAAGCAGAUUCGAUCAAGAUAAAACUGCCAGUGAAGUAUCAGUUCUUUUUAGCAAAUUAAAAUAUAAUGCAAACUGUGACACCUGAUAUGAGAAGUGUGCCUUUCCCGUGCCAUUAAGAAAUGAUGAUUAAUAAGUACUUAACGAGUGUCCCUCCGCGAUUAAAAAAUAAUUAGAUUAUAUUAUUGUUAUACAUACAUCGUCUUGUACCACUCAUGUACCCGUACAUACAUACGCAUCAAAGACACAAAUAGUUUUAAAAUAUAUUUAAGGUGACAAAAAUAUGUACGUCUUCCUAUAUUGUAUUGCCGUGGUGUAUGUACUUUGAAAAGCUCUUGUACAAAUAAAUUAUUUUCUGGCAUAUGGAGAUACGUUUUCUCUAAAGACAAA